rnacentral:sRNA from 1 species
AUUAAUGAAAACGUCAAGUAAAAGAAAAACCCUCAGAAUAUCUUCGUUAGUGUUGCAUUCCUUAGUGUUUCCCUUAGCUUCAUAGUCACAUUCAAUAAUUCAAGCUUUCAGUGCAUCGUGAUAUAAUCGCGAUAAAUAUUAUGAAUUUUAAUCAAAUAAGGGACACAUUAUGUCUACUGGUAUCGUUAAGUGGUUCAACGAAGAGAAAGGUUUCGGUUUCAUUACUCAGGACAAUGGCGGUGCUGACGUAUUCGUUCAUUUCCGUGCAAUCGCUUCUGAAGGUUUCAAAACUCUUGCUGAAGGCCAAAAAGUGUCUUUUGAAGUAGAGCAAGGCCAAAAAGGUCUUCAAGCUGCAAACGUUGUAGCUUUAUAAUAU